rnacentral:rRNA from 1 species
ACGAACGCUGGCGGCGUGCUUCACCCAUGCCAGUCGCACGGAAAGGCCCUGCUUUUGUGGGGUGCUCGAGUGGCGAACGGGUGAGUAACACGUGAGUAACCUGCCCUUGACUUUGGGAUAACUUCAGGAAACUGGGGCUAAUACCGGAUAGGAGCUCCUGCUGCAUGGUGGGGGUUGGAAAGUUUCGGCGGUUGGGGAUGGACUCGCGGCUUAUCAGCUUGUUGGUGGGGUAGUGGCUUACCAAGGCUUUGACGGGUAGCCGGCCUGAGAGGGUGACCGGCCACAUUGGGACUGAGAUACGGCCCAGACUCCUACGGGAGGAAGCAGUGGGGAAUAUUGCACAAUGGGCGGAAGCCUGAUGCAGCAACGCCGCGUGCGGGAUGACGGCCUUCGGGUUGUAAACCGCUUUCGCCUGUGACGAAGCGUGAGUGACGGUAAUGGGUAAAGAAGCACCGGCUAACUACGUG